CAGCCACAACACGUUGAAACACCAGUUCCUGUACAAUCACCAAAGUUAAGCUACAUUGAGCCUGGUCAGUACUUAGAUGAGUAACUACUUGGGAAUACCAGGUGGU